CAGUGGCGAACGGGUGAGUAACACGUGGGCAAUCUGCCCUGCACUCUGGGACAAGCCCUGGAAACGGGGUCUAAUACCGGAUAUGACCAUUGACCGCAUGGUUGGUGGUGUAAAGCUCCGGCGGUGCAGGAUGAGCCCGCGGCCUAUCAGCUUGUUGGUGGGGUGAUGGCCUACCAAGGCGACGACGGGUAGCCGGCCUGAGAGGGCGACCGGCCACACUGGGACUGAGACACGGCCCAGACUCCUACGGGAGGCAGCAGUGGGGAAUAUUGCACAAUGGGCGAAAGCCUGAUGCAGCGACGCCGCGUGAGGGAUGACGGCCUUCGGGUUGUAAACCUCUUUCAGCAGGGAAGAAGCGCAAGUGACGGUACCUGCAGAAGAAGCACCGGCUAACUACGUGCCAGCAGCCGCGGUAAUACGUAGGGUGCGAGCGUUGUCCGGAAUUAUUGGGCGUAAAGAGCUCGUAGGCGGCUUGUCGCGUCGGAUGUGAAAGC
rnacentral:rRNA from 1 species